rnacentral:rRNA from 1 species
GACGAACGCUGGCGGCGUGCUUAACACAUGCAAGUCGAACGGAAAGGCCCUGCUUUUGUGGGGUGCUCGAGUGGCGAACGGGUGAGUAACACGUGAGUAACCUGCCCUUGACUUUGGGAUAACUUCAGGAAACUGGGGCUAAUACCGGAUAGGAGCUCCUGCUGCAUGGUGGGGGUUGGAAAGUUUCGGCGGUUGGGGAUGGACUCGCGGCUUAUCAGCUUGUUGGUGGGGUAGUGGCUUACCAAGGCUUUGACGGGUAGCCGGCCUGAGAGGGUGACCGGCCACAUUGGGACUGAGAUACGGCCCGGACUCCUACGGGAGGCAACAGUGGGGAAUAUUGCACAAUGGGCGGAGGCCUGAUGCAGCAACGCCGCGUGCGGGAGGACGGCCUUCGGGUUGUAAACCGCUUUCGCCUGUGACGAAGCGUGAGUGACGGUAAUGGGGAAAGAAGCACCGGCUAACUACGU